rnacentral:rRNA from 1 species
CAUGUCUUUUUGAUUAUAAUUUAAAGUUUAAUCUGCUCAAUGAUAUUUUAAAUUGCCGCAGUAUUUUGACUGUGCAAAGGUAGCAUAAUAAUUUGUUUCUUAAUUAGGAACUGGAAUGAAUGAUUGGACAAGAAAAUUUCUGUCUCUCUUUUAAACUUUUUGAAUUUUAUUUUUAAGUGAAAAAGCUUAAAUUUAUAUAAAAGACGAGAAGACCCUAUAGAGUUUAAUAAAUUAAAUUAAUUGAAUUUUAGUAAUGUUUAUUAAAAUAAUUUAUUUAGUUGGGGUGAUUUGAAGAUUUAAAAAAUUCUUUUAUUAUUGAGUUAAUAAUUUUUAAUUUUUUUAUUUAAAGUUGUUAAAUUUAAAAUAAAUUACCUUAGGGAUAACAGCGUAAUUUUUCUUAAAAGUUCUUAUUGAAAGGAAAGUUUGCGACCUCGAUGUUGGAUUAAAAUUAAUUUUUGGUGCAGUAACUUAAAAAUUUGGUCUGUUCGACCUUUAAAAUUUUACAUGAUCUGAGUUUAAACCGGUGUAAACCAGGUUGGAUUCUAUCUUUAGAUAAUUAAGUAUAUUUUAGUACGAAAGGACCAAAUAUACAUUAGAUUAAUUG